rnacentral:lncRNA from 1 species
ACCAACACCUUCUACGACCCGACCAAGUCGCGCACCUAUGCCGCCUUCCCCUGCGGCUCCCCAGCUUGCCGGCAGCUCGGUCCCUACGCCAACGGCUGCAUCAACAACCAGUGCCAGUACAAGGUCACCUACCCCGAUGGCUCGUCGUCGUCGGGCACCUACAGCUCCGACGUCCUCACCUUCGACGCCACCCACGCCGUCAGCAACUUCCAGUUCGGGUGCAGCCACGCUGAGCAGGGCAGCUUCGACAACCGUGCGGCGGGCAUCAUGGCGCUCGGCGGCGGCCCGGAGUCGCUGCUGGCCCAGACGGCGUCCCGCUGGGGGAACGCCUUCUCCUACUGCAUCCCGCCGACGUCGAGCAACUCCGGCUUCUUCGGCCUCGGCGUGCCCGGCGGCGUCGCCUCCUCCAGGUACGUGGUGACGCCGAUGCUCAGGUACCCGAACCUGCCCACCUUCUACCGCGUGCUCCUCCGGGCCAUCACCGUCGGCGGGCAGCGGCUCAACGUGCCCGCCGCGGUGUUCUCCGCCGGCUCCGUGAUGGAUUCGCGCACGGCCAUCAGCCGCCUGCCGCCGACGGCGUACGCGGCGCUGCGGGCGGCGUUCAGGAACGCCAUGAGGAUGUACCGCCCUGCGCCGCCCAAGGGGAACCUCGACACCUGCUACGACUUCACCGGCGUCGCCAACGUCAGGCUGCCGAGGAUCGCGCUGGUGUUCGACCGGAACGCCGUCGUGGAGCUGGACCCGUCGGGGAUCCUCUUCAGCAGCUGCCUCGCUUUCGCCUCCAACCGCGACGACCACAUGCCGGGCAUCCUCGGCAGCGUGCAGCAGCAGACGUAUGAGGUGCUCUACGCCGUCGGCGGAGGCGCUGUCGGAUUCCGCCGUGCCGCGUGCUGAGCGCCACCUCGCCCUGCCAUCCAAUCCAUCUGUCUACUGGCAUUAUAUUGUUGCUUUACUCGUUUCCACACCCACUGUUAACUACUAUAUGUAAGACCUAUCUGGUCAAUGGUCAUGGAUUUCUACAAGCUAAUCUCACAGGGAGGUGAGGUAGUUUGUUGCCCAAAUAAACCGAAGAUUUGCAAGUUGUAUGUGAUCCUGCCGGCUUAUAAGCUUGUACUUCUAUCAGAAAUUUGUUAUAUUGAUCAUGUCCGGAAGGAGAAG